rnacentral:rRNA from 1 species
GACGAACGCUGGCGGCGCGCCUAAUACAUGCAAGUUGAGCGAUGAAGCUUGGUGCUUGCACCAAUUUGAAGAGCAGCGAACGGGUGAGUAACGCGUGGGGAAUCUGCCUUUGAGCGGGGGACAACAUUUGGAAACGAAUGCUAAUACCGCAUAAUAACUUUAAACAUAAGUUUUAAGUUUGAAAGAUGCAAUUGCAUCACUCAAAGAUGAUCCCGCGUUGUAUUAGCUAGUUGGUGAGGUAAAGGCUCACCAAGGCGAUGAUACAUAGCCGACCUGAGAGGGUGAUCGGCCACAUUGGGACUGAGACACGGCCCAAACUCCUACGGGAGGCAGCAGUAGGGAAUCUUCGGCAAUGGACGAAAGUCUGACCGAGCAACGCCGCGUGAGUGAAGAAGGUUUUCGGAUCGUAAAACUCUGUUGGUAGAGAAGAACGUUGGUGAGAGUGGAAAGCUCAUCAAGUGACGGUAACUACCCAGAAAGGGACGGCUAACUACGUG